rnacentral:rRNA from 1 species
GACGAACGCUGGCGGCGUGCUUAACACAUGCAAGUCGAACGGAAAGGCCCUGCUUUUGUGGGGUGCUCGAGUGGCGAACGGGUGAGUAACACGUGAGUAACCUGCCCUUGACUUUGGGAUAACUUCAGGAAACUGGGGCUAAUACCGGAUAGGAGCUCCUGCUGCAUGGUGGGGGUUGGAAAGUUUCGGCGGUUGGGGAUGGACUCGCGGCUUAUCAGCUUGUUGGUGGGGUAGUGGCUUACCAAGGCUUUGACGGGUAGCCGGCCUGAGAGGGUGACCGGCCACAUGGGGACUGAGAUACGGACCAGAAUCCUACGGGAGGCAGCAGGGGGGAAUAUUGCACAAUGGGCGGAAGUCUGAUGCAGCAACGCCGCGUGCGGGAUGACGGCCUUCGGGUUGUAAACCGCUUUCGCCUGUGACGAAGAGUGAGUGACGGUAAUGGGUAAAGAAGCACCGGCUAACUACGUG